CGUAAAUGUAUCUGUAUCUGGGCUAGCGGAGGAAGAAAUUGAACUGAUAUGUUCGCCUCCUCCCCUGCCAAGACAGACUCAUUCUGCCCAUGAGCCCAUGGGCAGGCUGGACGACAGUGGAUUGGAGGCACUAAAAGUGCUAAUUAAAUCAAAAGCUCCAAACAUAAUAGCAGAGUAUGAGAAAUCUGGCACGAUAUCCACCAAAAACAGGAUGCUUCUUGUGAGGGUUGCUGUCAGCAAUCUUGUGGAGAGACGAGGAUUGUA
ensembl:lncRNA